CACGUAGGGUGCGAGCGUUGUCCGGAAUUAUUGGGCGUAAAGAGCUCGUAGGCGGUGUGUCGCGUCGGCCGUGAAAACCUGCAGCUUAACUGUGGGCUUGCGGUCGAUACGGGCAUCACUGGAGUUCGGCAGGGGAGACUGGAAUUCCUGGUGUAGCGGUGAAAUGCGCAGAUAUCAGGAGGAACACCGGUGGCGAAGGCGGGUCUCUGGGGCCGAUACUGACGCUGGGAGGCGAAGC
rnacentral:rRNA from 1 species